rnacentral:rRNA from 1 species
AUUGAACGCUGGCGGCAGGCCUAACACAUGCAAGUCGAGCGAGCGGCGGACGGGUGAGUAAUGUAUGGGGACUGCCCGAUAGAGGGGGAUAACUACUGGAAACGGUAGCUAAUACCGCAUACUAUCGGAUAACCCAUAUGGGAUUAGCUAGUAGGUGAGGUAAUGGCUCACCUAGGCGACGAUCCCUAGCUGGUCUGAGUUGAUGAGCAGCGACACGGGGACUGAGACACGGCCAAGACUCCUACGGAGGCGGCAGUGGGGAAUAUUGCACAAUGGGCGCAAGCCUGAUGCAGCCAUGCCGCGAGUAUGAAGAAGACCCUAGGGUUGUAAAGUACUUUCAGUCGGGAGGCGUUACCGACAGAAGAAGCACCGGCUAACUCCGUGCAAGCUGCCGCGGUAAUUC